rnacentral:rRNA from 1 species
AUUGAACGCUGGCGGCAUGCCUUACACAUGCAAGUCGAACGGCAGCACGGGGCAACCUGGUGGCGAGUGGCGAACGGGUGAGUAAUGCAUCGGAACGUACCUUUCAGUGGGGGAUAACGUAGCGAAAGUUACGCUAAUACCGCAUAUUCUGUGAGCAGGAAAGCAGGGGAUCGCAAGACCUUGCGCUGAUUGAGCGGCCGAUGUCAGAUUAGCUAGUUGGUGAGGUAAAGGCUCACCAAGGCGACGAUCUGUAGCGGGUCUGAGAGGAUGAUCCGCCACCCUGGAACUGAGACACGGUCCAGACUCCUAAGGGAGGCAGCAGUGGGGAAUUUUGGACAAUGGGGGCAACCCUGAUCCAGCCAUGCCGCGUGAGUGAAGAAGGCCUUCGGGUUGUAAAGCUCUUUCGGCCGGGAAGAAAUCGCACGGGCUAAUACCCUGUGUGGAUGACGGUACCGGAAUAAGAAGCACCGGCUAACUACGUGCCAGCAGCCGCGGUAAUAC